rnacentral:rRNA from 1 species
CCCGCACAAGCGGUGGAGCAUGUGGUUUAAUUCGAUGAUACGCGAGGAACCUUACCUGGGCUCAAAUGUAUGUUGACGUAUUCUGAAAGGGAUACUUCUUCGGACAAUAUACAAGGUGCUGCAUGGUUGUCGUCAGCUCGUGCCGUGAGGUGUCGGGUUAAGUCCCAUAACGAGCGCAACCCCUAUCAUUAGUUGCCAUCAGGUCAAGCUGGGGACUCUAAUGAAACUGCCUACGCAAGUAGUGAGGAAGGUGGGGAUGACGUCAAAUCAGCACGGCCCUUACGUCCAGGGCUACACACGUGCUACAAUGGCCGGUACAAAGGGCAGCUACCUGGUGACAGGAUGCUAAUCUCAAAAGCCGGUCUCAGUUCGGAUCGCAGUCUGCAACUCGACUGCGUGAAGUCGGAAUCGCUAGUAAUCGUGAAUCAGAAUGUCACGGUGAAUACGUUCCCGGGCCUU